rnacentral:rRNA from 1 species
AUUGAACGCUGGCGGCAUGCAUAACACAUGCAAGUCGAACGAGUGGCGGACGGGUGAGUAAUGUCUGGGAAACUGCCUGAUGGAGGGGGAUAACUACUGGAAACGGUAGCUAAUACCGCAUACCAUCGGAUGUGCCCAGAUGGGAUUAGCUAGUUGGUGGGGUAAAGGCUCACCUAGGCGACGAUCCCUAGCUGGUCUGAGAGGAUGACGGGCCACACUGGAACGACGAAACGGUCAGGCCUCCUACGGGAGGACGCAGGGGGUAAUAUUGGACAAUGAGCGCAAGCCGAAUGCGUCCCUGCCGCUGAUGGGAAGAAGGCCUUCGGGUUGUAAAUUACGUUCAGCGGGGAGGCGUUACCCGCAGAAGAAGCACCUGCUAACUCCGUUCCAGCAGCCGCGGUAAUAC